GUAUAAAUUAAAUCGGCGCGUUGCCUUUUGGGGUGACGUUCCGGAGUUUGGGUCAUCUUUAAAGUCUUUUCUGGAUUUCGAGAGACCUAAAAUUGACAUCUUUUUUGCGCACUUCUGGACGUACAUAAUUUUUAUUUCGUCUAUUCGGGUGACAAAAAUUAUUAGACGCGACCAUGUCAAGCGGUUUCGUGUUUAUAAGAUUUCAUA
rnacentral:misc_RNA from 1 species